rnacentral:tRNA from 1 species
GCCAGCAUGGUGUAGUGGUUUGACUGUUAGACUACCACUCUGGAGAUCUGCGUUUGAUUCCUCAUUCUGACA